rnacentral:lncRNA from 1 species
GUGCUCCUCGGCUCUUCGGCUUUACGCCACCCGAGACCACGCCUGCGCGACCAGCCCGCCUGCGUCGUGCUCCUCGGCUCUUCGGCUUUACGCCACCCGAGACACACCUGCGCGGUCAGCCCGCCUGCGUCGUGCUCCUCGGCUCUUCGGCUUUACACCACCCGAGACCACGCCUGCGCGGCCAGCCCGCCUACGUCGUGCUCCUCGACUCUUCGGCUUUACGCCACCCAGGACACACCUGCGCGGCUAGCCCGCCUGCGUCGUGCUCCUCGGCCCCUCGGCUCCAUUCUCCCCGAAAC